GACGAACGCUGGCGGCGUGCUUAACACAUGCAAGUCGAACGGAAAGGCCCUGCUUUUGUGGGGUGCUCGAGUGGCGAACGGGUGAGUAACACGUGAGUAACCUGCCCUUGACUUUGGGAUAACUUCAGGAAACUGGGGCUAAUACCGGAUAGGAGCUCCUGCUGCAUGGUGGGGGUUGGAAAGUUUCGGCGGUUGGGGAUGGACUCGCGGCUUAUCAGCUUGUUGGUGGGGUAGUGGCUUACCAAGGCUGUGACGGGUAGGCGGCCUGGGAGGGUGACCGGCCACAUUAGGACUGAGAUACGCACCAGACGGCAACGGGAGGCAACGGUGGGGAAUAUUGCACAGUGGGCGGAAGCGUGAUGCAGCGACGCCGCGUGCGGGAUGACGGCCUUCGGGUUGUGAACCGCUGUCGCCUGUGACGAAGCGUGAGUGACGGUAAUGGGUAAAGAAGCACCGGCUAACUACGUG
rnacentral:rRNA from 1 species